rnacentral:rRNA from 1 species
AUGAACGCUGGCGGCGUGCCUAAUACAUGCAAGUCGAGCGAACAGAUGAGGAGCUUGCUCCUCUGACGUUAGCGGCGGACGGGUGAGUAACACGUGGAUAACCUACCUAUAAGACUGGGAUAACUUCGGGAAACCGGAGCUAAUACCGGAUAAUAUAUUGAACCGCAUGGUUCAAUAGUGAAAGACGGUUUUGCUGUCACUUAUAGAUGGAUCCGCGCCGCAUUAACUAGUUGGUAAGGUAACGGCUUACCAAGGCAACGAUGCGUAGCCGACCUGAGAGGGUGAUCGGCCACACUGGAACUGAGACACGGUCCAGACUCCUACGGGAGGCAGCAGUAGGGAAUCUUCCGCAAUGGGCGAAAGCCUGACGGAGCAACGCCGCGUGAGUGAUGAAGGUCUUCGGAUCGUAAAACUCUGUUAUUAGGGAAGAACAAAUGUGUAAGUAACUAUGCACGUCUUGACGGUACCUAAUCAGAAAGCCACGGCUAACUACGUG